AAUUAUUAGCGAAUCGACUAGCACUCUUUACGUUAUAAAAAAAACCUGCCCGAAAGCAGGUUUUUUUUAUUU
rnacentral:sRNA from 1 species